rnacentral:rRNA from 1 species
AUUGCCUCAGUAACGGCGAGUGAAGCGGCAAAAGCUCAGAUUUGAAAUCUGGCGUCAUUUUUCGGCGUCCGAGUUGUAAUCUGCAGAGGAGUAUUCGAGUGUGGCGCUGGCUUAAGUUCCUUGGAACAGGACGUCAUAGAGGGUGAGAACCCCGUUAACGGCCUCUGUCUUAUGCUCAUGUGAAUCUCCUUCGACGAGUCGAGUUGUUUGGGAAUGCAGCUCUAAAUGGGUGGUAAAUUCCAUCUAAAGCUAAAUACUGGCAAGAGACCGAUAGCGCACAAGUAGAGUGAUCGAAAGAUGAAAAGAACUCUGAACAGAGAGUUAAACAGUACGUGAAAUUGUUGAAAGGGAAGCACUUGCUACCAGACACGCCUGUUGUUGAUCAGCCUUCAUUUUUUAUGGUGCACUCGGCCGCAUGGUGGGUCAGCAUCGGUUGUUGCGGCGGGAUAAAGGCUCUUGGGAAUGUGGCUUCUCUCGGGAAGUGUUAUAGCCCUGGGCGUAAUACCGCCUGUCGCACUGAGGAAGCGCUU